rnacentral:rRNA from 1 species
UACGAACUGUGCGAACGUUAUUCGGAAUCACUGGGCUUAAAGGGUGCGUAGGCGGUUUGUGAAGUCAGGUGUGAAAUCCCCCGGCUCAACCGGGGAACAGCGCUUGAAACUGGCAGACUGGAGUGAGGCAGGGGUGUGCGGAACUUCCAGUGGAGCGGUGAAAUGUGUAGAUAUUGGAAGGAACGCCGGCGGCGAAAGCGGCACACUGGGCCUUGUCUGACGCUGAGGCACGAAAGCCAGGGGAGUGAAC